UACGGAGGGUGCAAGCGUUAUCCGGAUUCACUGGGUUUAAAGGGUGCGUAGGCGGGUGUGUAAGUCAGUGGUGAAAUCUCCGAGCUUAACUCGGAAACUGCCAUUGAUACUAUAUGUCUUGAAUGUUGUGGAGGUGAGCGGAAUAUGUCAUGUAGCGGUGAAAUGCUUAGAUAUGACAUAGAACACCAAUUGCGAAGGCAGCUCACUACACAAAUAUUGACGCUGAGGCACGAAAGCGUGGGGAUCAAAC
rnacentral:rRNA from 1 species